UAGGGAAUCUUCGGCAAUGGACGAAAGUCUGACCGAGCAACGCCGCGUGAGUGAAGAAGGUUUUCGGAUCGUAAAACUCUGUUGUUAGAGAAGAACAAGGACGUUAGUAACUGAACGUCCCCUGACGGUAUCUAACCAGAAAGCCACGGCUAACUACGUGCCAGCAGCCGCGGUAAUACGUAGGUGGCAAGCGUUGUCCGGAUUUAUUGGGCGUAAAGCGAGCGCAGGCGGUUUCUUAAGUCUGAUGUGAAAGCCCCCGGCUCAACCGGGGAGGGUCAUUGGAAACUGGGAGACUUGAGUGCAGAAGAGGAGAGUGGAAUUCCAUGUGUAGCGGUGAAAUGCGAAGAUAUAUGGAGGAACACCAGUGGCGAAGGCGGCCCCCUGGACGAAGACUGACGCUCAGGUGCGAAAGCGUGGGGAGCAAACAGG
rnacentral:rRNA from 1 species